rnacentral:rRNA from 1 species
UACGGAGGGGGCAAGCGUUAUUCGGAAUCAUUGGGCGUAAAGCGCGCGCAGGCGGAUUGAUAAGUCAGGUGUGAAAUCUCGAGGCUCAACCUCGAAACUGCGCCUGAAACUAUUAGUCUAGAGUGUCGGAGGGGGCAGGGGAAUUUCACGUGUAGGGGUAAAAUCCGUAGAGAUGUGAAGGAACACCGGAGGCGAAGGCGCCUGCCUGGACGACUACUGACGCUGAGGCGCGAAAGCGUGGGGAGCAAACAGG